GACGCUUCCAUCUCCAUCCACAGACAUUCCACCCUCGAUUUCAACUCGACGCCUCUGCUUCUCUAGGCCAUUCAUGCAUGUGACUUAAUGCUUCUCCUCUUUUAAGUAAUCGGUUGGGUUUUCAAAGAUCCGCUGGAAGGAUUUUCUGAGUGGUCCGAUGAAGAAAGGCAUCUUGAACGGCUACUUGGAACGAAAAGGCUUUGUGGAGUUAGAAUCUCAGAGGAGUGUGUAGCAUAGUGGAGUGUUUCUACAAUGCAGGAGUGACAAGCUUCAGACAAAAAAAGGCAUCCGGGAAACAAAAAAAAGCCAUGUCGGGGUAAGCUUUGGCCGUUACUUUCUAGAAUUUUUCAUUUACUUUUUCUGCUGUUAUUUGAUUAUUCUCAUGAAGGGAUACAAGGUAUGCUUCAUAUGUGCUCAAUUUCACUGCUUCAACAUCUCCCUCUGGCACCUUCGAUCUAUUUUCCUACAAUUGUUAGAAUUUCUGAUUUUGAUUGCUUUUAUUUAAAUUUUGAGUUUGUACUUCUGCAUUUAUUUUUUUCAUGGGAUUCACAGAUUCAUGGUUUCAAGUGGGUCACUUCUUCACCUUCGGUAUCAACUGUGCUUAUGUUCUUGGAUAUUCUGAAACCAUCAUGGUUUUUCUGGGUUGGAUAUUUGGUGUUGUCGGCUAAAUUUUAGAUACAGCCAUAUCAUUAUAUGCAAGUCAGCACUUCAGGUGGAUCAAUAUAAUUUAUAAAUAAUUUCCUUGCAUCAUAAUUUAAAAAUUAUAUAAUUGGUUAUUCCUCAUUAUUUGCUUGAAUUAUUUGUUAGAAGGUCAUGGUUUGGUAAUUCACACCAGCAUUGUCUCACUAGAUUAGGCUUUGUAAUUGUUUAUUGUUCUCCCCAAAAAUUACAUCUUAGUGUUCUGCCCUCUCGUGAGGAAAUUAUAAAUAAAGCUAGAUACUACAUGAAUGGAGCAGUAACAUGACCCAAAAAAAGGAACACCAACUAAUAAGGUAUCUCUUAUUUCAUGUUACAAAUAAGCUACACACAGCGAAAUAACAUUUCGUGCUUUCUGUCUUUUGUACUGCUCAGCGACUUUAGUUUAGUUUCAGCGCUUUUAAUCUUUAUCAUAUGGUUGGCCCCCACUGCCUAUAUCUUAUUUGUUUCUGCUCUUCCUAUUAUUGUUUUUGGAGGGCAACUGUACUAGAGGAUAUAUUUACUUUCAUUUUGUUAUAUGUGACAGAAUAGAUAAUGCUAGGGAUGUUUAAUUCCUCUCUUUUGUCUUUCUAAUUAGUACAUGGGGGAGGGGUAAUGAGCAUGUGCAUGAACAUGCAAAUUUUAUACUGACUUUUCUUUUAUAUAUUUCGUUAUGCUGUGUGCAUUUUUGUCCUCUUUUUUGGGCUCUCCUGAUUCUAUUGUUGUUGGGCUCUCCUGAUUCUAUUGUUGUUUCUUCAAGUUCAUUUAUGGACAGGACUGUCUUCGCUCUCUAUGCUUUUGUCAGGUACAUUCUUUCUCUUUUUCAUUGUCAUAUAAAUAGUCCUUUUUAAAAAUUGCUGUCCUUUAAUUUGUUCUAAAAACGGUAAGUUAGGCAGAGUUUUUAGGUUAUUUAUUUGAAGAACAUAUGUCAUAUCUUCUGUAUUCAUCUUGACAGACAACAACUAAACCUGUCACACUUGCCUAAGAAGCACCGAUACAGAUACGAGAUACAAAUACGAUACGAUACGGAUACGGGGAUACGUCAUUUUUCAAAAAAAUAGGAUACGGAAACGUUUAGGAUACGUUUGAUUUUUUUUUUGUAAUUGCUCAAACUUCCAUGUAACAAAAGAAAUGCAAUUACAAUGACAUUACAAUGACUAAUGUAACCAAAAGAAAUGCAAUUACAAUGACAAAUUAACACUCUCAAGCCUCAGCUAGUUAUGUUUGUUUUUUUUAAUUGUUCAAACUUCCUUUGUUUCAUGACUUUCACCCAAUAUACCCUCAUCACCAUCAUCAGCAAAGACAUUUCCUCCACCACCACCAUCCUUUUCUUGUCUUUUCACAUAUCUCCAUAGAGGUUUGCCGGAAUCCUCAACACCACCACUCAAGGCAGAUGGAGUAGAAGCUGAACCAAUGGCUGAACCACUGGUGUUAAGAGAGCCAACACCUGACAUAGCCUAACCAGGUAGCAUUAUAAGACAAAUCAUCAAAGACAAGCAACAAGAGACUCAAAUCAGCAAAGCCAAGAGACUCAAAUCGGCAAAUUUAGUGAACACAAGCAAGAUUGAGCUACUGAAGCACAUGUAAAUCAACAACAGAAGCAAUAGACUCAAAUCGAAGAAAACACAAGUAAAUUGAAGUCAAAAUCAACAAUACAACAACUGAAGCAAAUUGAAACCGAAAGGAACAACUCAAAUCAAGGACUUACCAGAGGAAGUCAAUGUCAAAUUCGUGGCAGGAAGUCGAAGUCGAUGUCGACUUCGAAGCAGGGAGGCGAUGUCGACUUCUUUGCAGGGAGGCGAUGCCGACUUCGAAGCAAGGAGGCGAUGUCGAAGUUGCAGUAGGGAGUCAGGGUCGAUGUCGACUUCGAAGCAGGGAGUCGAUGUCGAAGUGGAGGUCGAUGUCGACUUCGAAGCAAGGAGUCGAUGUCGAAGUGGAGGUCGAAGUCGCAGCAGACGUUGGCCAAGGCAGUCAAUGUCCAAGGAAGUCCUUAACCUAAAGGUUAAGGCUGGAAAUGAUUUCCCGUGCUGUGAAACGUCGCUGAAGACGUCUCAAACAGGUAUCGUAUUCGUAUCUGAAUUUUUUUUUUUUUAAAAAAAAUUGUGAAUAGAAAAAUACGUCUUACAGACGUCUUUUUGCCUUUUUUUGCCGUAUCAGUAUCCAAUAUGUAUCAGAUACAUAUACUGCAUUAUGACAGACGUAUCCAUGCUUUCUAGACACUUGCCUAUGGCAUAUCCAAACCUAAGCAUGCGACACAGAUAGCUAGACGGUGGAAAUGUUUUUUUGGUUCUUUCCCCUCCCAUGUAAUUUGCCGUUUUUAUGAUACUUAUAGUGUCCAAUGGUUCAUUCCACUUUUAAAUAUCUCUGUGAAGUCACAUGUAUUACAAUUGCAAAUGGUCUGUGGUGUCAUAUGGUCUGUGGUGUCAUAUGGUAUGUGUACAUUGGUGCAGGUU